UAAAUCAUUUUUUAUUGUUUUAGUAUAGGAGAUAGAAUAGAACGACUAGAGCGGCGAUAGAGUAUUGAUAGUAGCGUGAGUGAAGGAUUAAAAUAACCAAUUAAGUAUCGGUGGUGAGUGCUCGUACCUUUUGCAUCAUGGCUUAUACUACUUUUUAUGCUUAGGAAGUAUCCCGAAAGUUUUGUGAUCUACUUUCUUACCUUAGGUUGGUGUUGUAUUUACUAUCUAUAGAUGGGAAGAUAGUGGCGAAAUACCUUUCGCACUGGUUGAUAGCUGGUUAUUCUGGAAAUAUAUUUAAGUAUAGCCCCUUUUAUUGAUGAAAUUUACCGUUUUAAGUUUUUAAGUGUUUUAUAUUGUUUUGUGAGGGAGACAGUCUCUCCAGGCUAAGCUGGUGAGAUUAUUUAAAAGGAUGGUUGGUGAAUAAUAAAAAAGUUAAGAAGUGGGCUUGAAGAAGCUAUCUUUGUAGAGUGGGUUAAACCACAAAUGAGCUUUAUAAUAAUAAAUAAAAUUUUACUUAUCUUUUUGUUGUACGGAAUUUCUCCACUAAACUGUUUUUGUGGAGGUGAUAAUGUAAAGAUGAGUAGUCGAGAGGUUGUAGUUGUUUUAUUUUCAGGGAGAGAAAUAUAAAAGUUUUUUUCUUAUUGUUAAAAAAAGUUAAAGGAACUCGGCAAAAUUGGGGACCGCCUGUUUAUCAAAAACAUGGCUCCUUGAAUAUCAUGAGGGGUCGUGCCUUCCCGGUGAGCUUGCGAGCUUAAACGGACGCGGUAAAGCGUGCUAAGGUAGCUAAAUUAUGGCCUAUUAAUUGUAGGUCCUGUGAAUGGUUUGACGAGUUUCCAACUGUCUCUAAUUUUUUUUGGUGAACUUGAAUUGGAUGUGCAAAUGCUUCCAUGGGUAAGAAAGACGAGAAGACCCCGUGAAGUUAGAAAUUUUAGCUAUUGAGGCCUUUUAACUAUGAAGUUAAGUGUUAAAGGUUAUACUUUGUUAGGUGAAUAGUGACAGUUUUGGCUGGGGCAGCAAAAGAGCAAAGUCAGACUCUUUUAGUUUUAUGUGACUGGUGUGUUACGACCCACAAAUUUUAGGGUGUGAUUAUCAGAAGAAGUUACUCCGGGGAUAACAGCGUAAUCUGUCCUGACAGUUCUUAUAGAUGGGCGGGUUUGCGACCUCGAUGUUGGCUCUGGAUAUCCUAAGGCUUGUAGGCGGUCUUUAGGGUUGGUUCGUUCGCCCAUGAAAAUCCAACGUGAGCUGAGUUCAGAUCGGUGAAAGCUAGGUCGGUUUCUAUCUUCUUUCUUUAAAAGUUGGACUUUAGGGUACGAAAGGACAUUUAGUUCCAGGUUGUGUCCUGUAAUUUUUGUCUUUAUAAUAA
rnacentral:rRNA from 1 species